rnacentral:rRNA from 1 species
UAGUCCACGCCGUAAACGAUGAUUACUCGCUGUAGGCGAUACACAGUCUGUGGCUAAGCGAAAGUUUUAAGUAAUCCACCUGGGGAGUACGAUCGCAAGAUUGAAACUCAAAGGAAUUGACGGGGGCCCGCACAAGCGGAGGAACACGUGGUUUAAUUCGAUGAUACGCGAGGAACCUUACCUGGACUUAAAUGUGCGUUGCAUAGAUCAGAGAUGGUCUUUUCUUCGGACUACGUACAAGGUGCUGCAUGGUUGUCGUCAGCUCGUACCGUGAGGUGUCGGGUUAAGUCCCAUAACGAGCGCAACCCUUAUCCUUAGUUGCCAGCGGGUCAUGCCGGGGACUCUGAGGAGACUGCCACCGUAAGGUGUGAGGAAGGUGGGGAUGACGUCAAAUCAUCACGGCCCUUACGUCCUGGGCUACACACGUGCUACAAUGGUAUGGACAAUGAGCAGCCAUCUGGCAACAGAGAGCGAAUCUAUAAACCAUAUCACAGUUCGGAUC